AGAGAGAGAAAUGUACCAAAAUCUCCAAAAACUAUUUACGCUGUUGAUAGAUAGGACGAUAGGAUCAUAUAAUUGGACGAAGACUCCGACACCACAGUAGAAACGAAAAGAGGAGAGAGAAAGAGAGGAGAAUAGAGAGAGAGAGAGAGAGAGAGAGAGAGAGGGAGGAGAAAAGGGGAAAGUUUACGUGCAUAUCCGUCGUCUGUCUGACCUCCGCAGCUCAGAGGCUUAAGACAAAGGAAGAAGAAAAAUGGAAGCAUUUAAUCCAUAGAAAUACUGCAAAAGAAACCCUCAAUAGCUCUCUCUUUUAGUGGAUUUCACUUUUAUGGUCUUUGGACACAUUGGUGGAGGUAAAAAAAUAGGUACUUUUUUUGAGUUUGUCUAAAUGGAUCCGAUGGCUGAAGAGCAGAUAGAUUACGGAGAUGAGGAAUAUCGGGGGGCUCAAAAGAUGCAGUAUCAGGGAGGUGGGGCGAUUUCUGCUCUUGCAGAUGAUGAAAUGAUGGGCGAAGACGAUGAAUAUGAUGAUCUAUACAAUGAUGUUAAUGUUGGAGAAGGUUUCCUGCAGCUGCAGCGUUCUGAGGCACCAGCAGCAUCUGUUGGUGGAGGCACCCUUGGAUUCCCAGAGCAGAAAACUAAUGUUCCUGAACCUAGAGCCGAAGCAGUGGUGCCAAAAGACCUAAGCAUUGCUGGAGUUGCAACUGAAGGGAAGCAUCUGAAUGCUGUGAUCCGUUUCCCUGAGCAGAAGGAAGGGUUGACAGCUGAUGGAGGACAAGGAGUGGGAACAAUUGAUAUUUCACAAAAACAGAGGGUUCCAGAGAUGAGUCAUGAUGCUCAAACAGGAAAUCUGGGGUUUCGAGGAUCAGCUCCUAUGCCCCACAAAAUUGGGGUUGAUCCUACUGACAUGCCAGGAAAAGUUGCCAAUGAGUCUGCUCCGUUGCUAAAUUCUGGCUCAGGUGGCCAUAGAGGUGUCUCACAGAUGCCAGCGCAUCAAAUGGGUAUGAAUGCAAAUGUGAACGUGAACCGUCCACCAGUUAAUGAAAAUCAGAUCCGGCCACCUGUAGAUAAUGGUGGAACCAUGCUUUUCGUGGGAGAACUACAUUGGUGGACUACGGAUGCAGACCUUGAGAACGUAUUAUCACAAUAUGGGAGGGUCAAGGAGAUUAAGUUCUUUGAUGAGAGAGCUAGUGGUAAAUCCAAAGGUUACUGUCAAGUUGAAUUCUAUGAUGCGGUCGCUGCGGCUGCAUGCAAGGAAGGAAUGAAUGGUUAUGUUUUCAAUGGUAGAGCUUGUGUGGUGGCAUUUGCUUCGCCACAAACAAUUAAGCAGAUGAAUGCUUCUUACAUGAACAAGACUCAGAACCAGCCUCAGUCUCAGUCACAGGGAAGGAGGCCUAUGAAUGAUGGGGUGGGAAGAGGAGGUGGGGGGAAUAAUUAUUCCGGUGGAGAUGGGGGCAGAAAUUAUGGAAGAGGUGGGUGGGGACGAGGAGGGCAGGGAAUACUCAACAGAGGUCCUGGGGGUGGACCCAUGAGGGGAAGAGGAGGGGCUAUGGGAGCAAAGAACAUGGUUGGGGGCGGUGUUGGGGUUGGAAGUGGUGCCAAUGUAGGAGCCUACGGGCAAGGCCUUGCAGGCCCUGCUUUCGGGGGUCCUCCUGGUGGUUUGAUGCAUCCUCAGGGUAUGAUGGGUGCUGGAUUUGAUCCAACUUUUAUGGGUAGAGGAGCAGGUUAUGGAGGCUUUUCAGGUCCUGGUUUUCCUGGGAUGCUUCCUUCAUUUCCUGCUGUUAAUACUAUGGGACUUGCUGGGGUGGCUCCCCACGUGAACCCUGCCUUUUUUGGCCGAGGAAUGGCAGCUAAUGGAAUGGGAAUGAUGGGGACCACUGGUAUGGAAGGACCUCAUGCAGGAAUGUGGACUGAUGCAAGUAUGGGUGGAUGGGGAGGGGAAGAACAUGGCCGAAGGACAAGAGAGUCAAGUUAUGGUGGUGAAGAUGGUGCCUCUGAAUAUGGGUAUGGAGAGGCGAGCCAUGAAAAAGGGGUAACAUCAAAUGCUGCUUCUCGGGAAAAGGAACGUGGUUCUGAGCGUGAUUGGUUUCCCUCUGAGAAAAGGCAUCGUGAUGAGAGGGAGCAUGAUAGAGACAGGCCUGAAAGGGAUUACAGGUACAGGGAAGAUAGAGAUGGUUACCGUGACCAUCGGCCGAAAGAACGAGACUUGGGCUAUGAGGAUGACUGGGAUAGAGGACAGUCUUCUUCGAGAUCUCGGAGCAGGUCCCGGGCAAUUCCAGAGGAGGAGCACAGGUCUCGACCAAGGGAUGUGGAUUAUGGGAAGCGGAGGCGCAUGCCAUCAGAGUGAAGCAGUCGAGCAAUUCAUUCUUGUUGGCUAGGUCUUAUGAGACCUCAUUCUAUCCUUAAUGUUCUUCCUUCUCCGCAUCUUUUUGUUGGAUUGCUACGGUGCUUCAACGUUGUUCUUUCUGGUUUCUGUUGGUGUCACAUGCAGACUGUGGCGUGAGUGACAAAGGCGCAAGCUGGCAACUCUUUGAUUUAUGUGAUGAAUCAGCCUAUGUUGGUUACUUGGAGGAAUGUGGGUAAAUUGGCUGCUUUCCCUGAUUCCGUGGGAAUCUCUAUUGUCUGCAUAGUGUGUUGAAGGAGCCUUUACUAAAUUGCUUAUCGUUUAUGUUUCCUCAAGCACUUCAUCAAAAAUUUAUAAAUAGUGCUCUUGGGAGAAAAAGUCUAGGAAGAGUCCAAAUCAUGAACUUAAUUGAAGGAUAUUGGAGUUAAGUUUUUGGAAGCAACCAUCAUAUACGCGAGUCUGCAUGAAGAGCACUAUUUCAUCUCUUUUAGAAUUGAUUUUAUGUCUUAGGUUCAAAACAUGUAAUUGGCCUGUUCUAUUAAGUAUUUGUGUCUCAUCGGCGAGCUUGUAAAAGUUUUGUACAAAUUUCAGGUCUAUACUUGGUAUGAUCUAGCUGAAAAUGUUUGCUAGAGAGUUGGGUUGAGCUAUGUAUAUGUUGUAAUAUAGGGUCACAAUUCCAAUUGUAAGUGGUCAUUGUAAGAUCUCAAGAAGUUGGUGUCUGUUGAUGCUGCUGGAUUUCUUGCAAGCAUAAAGAACUAUCAGAUGUAUUUUGUGUAUAUAAUGUAAAGUGCAGCACGUAGUUUGGUUAGGAGUGCAAGAGUUGUAGAUUGUUAUUGUAUUUUUGGGCAAAAACUGGAAGAUUUGUGGUUUGCUUAUAGUUGUUUCCCUCUUGAAGGAGGCAUGCCAUGUACCUUUUUUUUCUUCCACUUUUUGGGUUCAUUUUUUCCCUCUGGAAGCAGUAUUUUUGUAACUCUGAUCUGUGGAAAUUUGAACUAUGUAUACGUUGCAAUAUAGGGUCACAAUUCCAAUUGUAAGUGGUCAUUGUAAAGAUCUCAAGAAGUUAGUCUGUUGAUGCUUCUUGAAUUCUUGUAAGCAUAAAGAACUAUCAGAUGUAUUUUGUGUAUAUAAUGUAAAGUGCAGCACGUAGUUUGGUUA